GACGAACGCUGGCGGCGUGCUUAACACAUGCAAGUCGAGCGGUAAGGCCCUUUCGGGGGUACACGAGCGGCGAACGGGUGAGUAACACGUGGGUGACCUGCCUUUAGCUCUGGGAUAAGCCUGGGAAACUGGGUCUAAUACCGGAUAUGACUCCGCGGUGCAUGCUGUGGGGUGGAAAGCCUUGUGCGGCUGGAGAUGGGCCCGCGGCCUAUCAGCUUGUUGGUGGGGUGAUGGCCUACCAAGGCGACGACGGUAGCCGGCCUGAGAGGGCGACCGGCCACACUGGGACUGAGACACGGCCCAGACUCCUACGGGAGGCAGCAGUGGGGAAUCUUGCGCAAUGGGCGAAAGCCUGACGCAGCGACGCCGCGUGAGGGAUGACGGCCU
rnacentral:rRNA from 1 species